CCGGAAUCGAAGGGCUUGUGUUCAAGUCACCGAUAUUUCCCUUAGUGGCCCCAAAGCACAGGAGUAGUGACGCUGGCAACGUGGAUAUGCGAAUAAAGUGCUUGUUCGAAGAGAAAAGGUGAAAGUUCUCGACUUAAGGGAAGAAAAAUAUAUAUGCCGAGGUUGCUACGAUCUACGACUUUCAAGCAGUCUUCUUAUUUUCAGCCCUGGGCCUCAGUCGCAACCUCCACAGUACCUGACACCCCCAAGUUCUGAGCCUUGGAAGGUUUCCCUGGGGUGGACGAGCUCACUACUACCACAGAGAUAUUUAUAGUCCGGGAACCAGGCUACCUCACCGACAUGGAUGAUCAGGAAUUGGAACCCGUCUUGGUCACCAUAGCAGCAGGCAGCCAGUGACAUCAGAAGCCUGACAUCGGUCAGUGCUGCUAUGGUGAAGGAAACCAGAAGCUGAUAUAAAGAAAACAUUAUAUAAAAUGCUUUUUAUUCCUUUUGAGAGGCACUUGGGAAUGAUUUCUGAAAGAAGUAGCUGAAUUCCUGCAACCAUUUUUAAACCUUCAGCUUGUAUUAAUAAAAUUUAUAUUAGACAAAAGAUAAUUUGAAAAUAAUGUAGAGUAGUAAGAAUGCAAAUGUGAAUAUAUAUAUGUCAUAUAUUACAUCAUAUAUACAUAUAUUUACCAACCAUUAGUUUUAACUGCUAGUUUGACUAUGAAGACACCCUGCUGUAGGAUAACUAUGCCAUAACCCAG